rnacentral:rRNA from 1 species
GACGAACGCUGGCGGCGUGCUUAACACAUGCAAGUCGAACGGAAAGGCCCUGCUUUUGUGGGGUGCUCGAGUGGCGAACGGGUGAGUAACACGUGAGUAACCUGCCCUUGACUUUGGGAUAACUUCAGGAAGCUGGGGCUAAUACCGGAUAGGAGCUCCUGCUGCAUGAUGGGGGUUGGAAAGUUUCGGCGGUUGGGGAUGGACUCGCGGCUUAUCAGCUUGUUGGUGGGGUAGUGGCUUACCAAGGCUUUGACGGGUAGCCGGCCUGAGAGGGUGACCGGCCACAUUGGGACUGAGAUACGGCCCAGACUCCUACGGGAGGCAGCAGUGGGGAAUAUUGCACAAUGGGCGGAAGCCUGAUGCAGCAACGCCGCGUGCGGGAUGACGGCCUUCGGGUUGUAAACCGCUUUCGCCUGUGACGAAGCGUGAGUGACGGUAAUGGGUAAAGAAGCACCGGCUAACUACGUG